ACUGUCAGCGAUUGACAGAAUGCGACCUGCAAAUUCAUAGUUAAGACGAGACAACGUCUGUCGGGUCAGCUUGUUUUGAAUAAAUGAAUCCCUUUUAGUCGAAUUUCCGUAACGGCGGCCAAUCUCUACAGACAUCAGCCACUUGUGCACUUUAAUAUGCGUACUGCGUACCUACGUAGGAGAUAUUAAUGUGCACAAGUGUGUGCGCAAUAUACUGGAAAAGUAAAAUCCAUCUGUCUGUUGUUAUUUUAGUAGCAUGAUUAUGGUUGUUGGUUCGCGCUCCGAGUUGAGGAAGAAUUAAUAAAAAAGUGAUAUUCGAAAAACUUAGGUUGCCGGGGAAUUUGGGUCCAUAUGGCGAUUGGACAAUACCCUUUAAAAAAACAUCAUGAGAUGGAUACAAUAAGGUUGGUUAAAUGUGCUGACAAAAGCUAGGUUACUUCCAGACAUAUCGAUAUUUUGGCAAUGGAACAAAAUUUGCCAAAAUGAAUUCGAAAGUUAAAAGAAGAAAAAAAUUGCAACUUCAAAGUAUGGAACAAAAAUUAUGAUUUAAUAGAUUGAGGAAACCACGCAUAAUAUUAACAUGAUUCAAAUAGUACUAAACCUAAGGGAUAUAAUGUACAGCGCAAUCAUAAAUACAACCACAACUAUUUAUGUGAAUGAUUCGUGAAAAGAAACACCGAAUACCAUACUAACUUCAUCGUUUCAAACUAAUAAAUUAAAAUUAUGGAUUCAAUUACUCAGAGCGUGUGAAGUUCGCAACUCCAGCGAAAUCAACUUACCUGCGAACUAACAACUGUAAUAAAAUUCUUUAGCAACUGUUAUUGUUCUUGUACUUUUAAUUAAAUGUUUUCAAACGGUA